GUAGUUCAGUGGUAGAACACCUGUCUAUCUUGUAGGAGGCACUGGGUUCAAUUCUCAGC
rnacentral:tRNA from 1 species